GACGAACGCUGGCGGCGUGCUUAACACAUGCAAGUCGAACGGUGAAGGGAUCAGCUUGCUGGUUCUGGAUGAGUGGCGAACGGGUGAGUAACACGUGAGUAACCUGCCCCCUUCUUCUGGAUAACCGCAUGAAAGUGUGGCUAAUACGGGAUAUUCUGGGUCUGUCGCAUGAUGGGUCUGGGAAAGAUAUUGUUUCGGUGGGGGAUGGGCUCGCGGCCUAUCAGCUUGUUGGUGGGGUGAUGGCCUACCAAGGCGGUGACGGGUAGCCGGCCUGAGAGGGUGGACGGUCACACUGGGACUGAGACACGGCCCAGACUCCUACGGGAGGCAGCAGUGGGGAAUAGUGCACAAUGGGCGCAAGCCUGAUGCAGCGACGCCGCGUGAGGGAUGGAGGCCUUCGGGUUGUAAACCUCUUUCGCCAGUGAAGCAGGCCUGCUCCUUGUGGGUGGGUUGACGGUAGCUGGAUAAGAAGCGCCGGCUAACUACGUG
rnacentral:rRNA from 1 species